UGGCCACCAUGAUGCAGGUUGAUGAUGAGAGUCGCCGCGCCGGCGUACAGAGGGCGCUACGGCAGUUCGGCCAGCUCGUCGACAAUAGAACGUUCCUGCUGACGUUCGUGCGCACGCUCGAGGCGAACAAAUACUUCACGAUGAAAGACCGCGUUAGUUUCGCUUCCUUCCUCAUGGUGGCGCUGCAGGGCAAGAUGGAGUACUGCACCGAAAUACUGAAGACACUGUUGUACAGAGCUGAUAGAAAAAUUCCAUUCAGGAAAAUGUCAUCCAAAAGCUUCUGCUCUCGAAGAACGGGAAUCCGUAGCUGAGAAGAUGCUCCGCCUGGUUUACAUUCCUACUCUAUCGUCUACUACAGGAGAGUGUGGGUGACCCCUCUCUACAAGUUAUGCAUGGCUGUGCAGCAGCAGAUAGACAAGGGACCGGUCGACGCGGUGACGGCCGAAGCCAAAUACUCGCUGAGCAAUGACAAGCUCAUACGCCAACAAGUGGAGUACAAGUCCAUGACGAUAUAGGUGUG